rnacentral:rRNA from 1 species
GAACGUACCUUUUGGUUCGGAACAACACAGGGAAACUUGUGCUAAUACCGGAUAAGCCCUUACGGGGAAAGAUUUAUCGCCGAAAGAUCGGCCCGCGUCUGAUUAGCUAGUUGGUGAGGUAAUGGCUCACCAAGGCGACGAUCAGUAGCUGGUCUGAGAGGAUGAUCAGCCACAUUGGGACUGAGACACGGCCCAAACUCCUACGGGAGGCAGCAGUGGGGAAUAUUGGACAAUGGGCGCAAGCCUGAUCCAGCCAUGCCGCGUGAGUGAUGAAGGCCCUAGGGUUGUAAAGCUCUUUUGUGCGGGAAGAUAAUGACGGUACCGCAAGAAUAAGCCCCGGCUAACUUCGUGCCAGCAGCCGCGGUAAUACGAAGGGGGCUAGCGUUGCUCGGAAUCACUGGGCGUAAAGGGUGCGUAGGCGGGUCUUUAAGUCAGGGGUGAAAUCCUGGAGCUCAACUCCAGAACUGCCUUUGAUACUGAGGAUCUUGAGUUCGGGAGAGGUGAGUGGAACUGCGAGUGUAGAGGUGAAAUUCGUAGAUAUUCGCAAGAACACCAGUGGCGAAGGCGGCUCACUGGCCCGAUACUGACGC